rnacentral:rRNA from 1 species
GACCAGACUCCUACGGGAGGCAGCAGUGGGGAAUAUUGCACAAUGGGGGGAACCCUGAUGCAGCGACGCCGCGUGAGCGAAGAAGUACCUCGGUAUGUAAAGCUCUAUCAGCAGGGAAGAAGAUGACGGUACCUGACCAAGAAGCUCCGGCUAAAUACGUGCCAGCAGCCGCGGUAAUACGUAUGGAGCAAGCGUUAUCCGGAUUUACUGGGUGUAAAGGGCGCGUAGGCGGGAUGGCAAGUCAGAUGUGAAAUCCAAGGGCUCAACCCUUGAACUGCAUUUGAAACUGUCGUUCUUGAGUACUGGAGAGGUUGACGGAAUUCCUAGUGUAGCGGUGAAAUGCGUAGAUAUUAGGAGGAACACCAGUGGCGAAGGCGGUCAACUGGACAGCAACUGACGCUGAGGCGCGAAAGCGUGGGGAGCAAACAGGAUUAGAUACCCCAGUAAUC